CAGACACUGCGCCGAGCCCCCACCACACGCAGGGACACUCCAGGACUCGACACCCCAGAUUGGGGCCUAUCGCACACACGGACUCUUCUUGCUGUAGUGAGUGAUGCCCUGGCUACCCCACACUCCAUCAACGUCCCUGUGGCUCACCAUUCCCUUUUCCCUUGGGUGGGAAACCGUCCCCUGCGUGAUGCCCCUGAGCCCCCCUCCGUCGACCCCACCUGGGUCCGAUUUUUCACUGACUUCAUGAACGGGCAGAGGAAGUUUCGGGGCAGGACCAAGAAGGCACCGCAUCCUCAGGGCUGCUUCGGGAUGAAGCUGGACCGAAUUGGGACCUUCAGCGGGCUGGGAUGCUAAAGUCAGAGAUUUCUGCCACUCACCCCAACCAAUCCGUUGUGGCUGAUGGAAGCAGCACCAGAUGCCUGGUCCUGAAGGUGGCACGCCUGGAUUUUUGACGCAGCCCUCCCCCCCCCCAACCCCGGU